AUCGUGUGAUAUCGGAUGUCUGUCUUCUUCUCUGUUUUCUUUUCUUUUUUUUCCCCCUCUCCCCCUCUGGCCCUGUCUUCUUAUGUGGUGGCAGCGAUUCUGGUCAAUUCAUAGCGGAGCCUUGGAAAUGAUUCUAGUCUAAUGGAUGCGCGAAUCGUGCAGGAUGCGGAGAUUAUUGUUUCGUUCUGAUGAAAAAUAACAAAUAACACGGAAAUCUAUUGGAUUCGAGCGCUGAAACGUUAAGAGGACGGAAUUCAGACGCGGAUCUUUUCCAGGUGUGUGAUGAGACAAAGAAACAAAGGAUGCCUUAGAGAGGAGGUUGCCUGUACGCCUGGAAACCUCUUCAAAGCACACCACCAAAUGGAUCAAACGCCUCCCCCUGCCACCUCCAGAUCAUGAUACUCGGCUGAAGCUAUUCCACUACAUUUAUGAUCCCUCCUCCAUCUAUGGCGAACUAUAGCCAUGCAGGGGACCACACCAUCUUGCAGAAUGUUUCUCCUCUUGCCACAUUCCUCAAAUUAACCUCCCUGGGUUUCAUCAUUGGAGUCGGUGUGGUAGGGAACCUCCUGAUCUCAAUCCUGCUGGUUAAAGACAAGAGCCUGCACCGGGCACCCUACUAUUUCCUACUGGACCUGUGCGCCUCGGAUAUCCUACGCUCCGCUAUCUGCUUCCCCUUUGUCUUCACCUCUGUAAAGAAUGGAUCUGUCUUAACCUACAGCAUACUGACCUGCAAAGUGAUCGCCUUCCUCGGUGUGCUCUCCUGUUUCCAUACAGCAUUCAUGCUCUUCUGCGUCAGCGUCACCCGCUACCUGGCCAUCGCGCAUCACCGCUUCUACACCAAGAGGCUGACGUUCUGGACGUGCUUGGCCGUCAUUUGCAUGGUGUGGACGUUGUCGGUGGCCAUGGCGUUCCCUCCGGUGCUAGACGUCGGGACGUACACAUUCAUCCCAGAGGAGGACCAGUGUACGUUUCAGCACCGCUCCUUCCGGGCGAACGACUCGCUGGGCUUCAUGCUCCUGCUGGCGCUCAUCCUUCUGGCCACGCAGCUGGUUUACCUCAAGCUCAUCUUCUUCGUCCACGACCGCCGAAAGAUGAAGCCCGUCCAGUUCGUGCCUGCCGUUAGCCAGAACUGGACCUUCCAUGGGCCGGGCGCCAGCGGACAGGCGGCGGCCAACUGGCUGGCCGGGUUUGGCCGCGGCCCCACCCCACCUACUUUGCUGGGGAUCCGACAGAACAGCAACGCAGCGGGCCGCAGACGUCUUCUGGUGCUCGAUGAGUUCAAAACGGAGAAGAGGAUUAGUAGGAUGUUCUACAUAAUGACAUUUUUCUUCUUGGCUCUGUGGGGGCCCUACCUGGUUGCCUGCUACUGGCGCGUGUUUGCCAGGGGCUCUGUGGUCCCUAGAGGGUACCUGACAGCAGCCGUGUGGAUGAGCUUUGCCCAGGCCGGGGUCAAUCCUUUCAUCUGCAUCUUCUCCAACAGGGAGUUACGGCGCUGCUUCAGCACCACACUCCUCUACUGUAGAAAAUCCAGGUUACCGAGGGAACCCUACUGCGUUAUAUGACGGUUUUGCUGGGGUUUUUUACUCAUCUAUGUCUUGGUUACCCUGGUUUAUCUUGAUGUGGGCUUGUCCCAGUUGUACAGCUCUUGUUCUACGCCCUUCCCCUUCAACCUCCUGGUUUUCCUUUGCUCCUCCUUCUCAGAGGGUGGACUGCCGAUCACGCGGCUCUGCGUGGGUGAUUAAAUUACAAAAAGUCCAAUUGAACUUGGAGACCAAAUGGAAUGGGAAUAUAGAGAAGGUAUGGAUCCCCUCCUAUGUUUAUGUUCUAGUAAACAGACAUUGUGGAAGGCCAUGCCGAUGCAGAAAAGCAAAAAGUUAAAAAACUGUUUUUUUUUUUUUUUCCUUUGACAAAAUGAUGAAAACAAAACCUCCUGCUUUGGAUCUUUUGAAGACGAGUUACUCUGUGAUGUGUGAAAUACAAAAAUAAAGAAAAAUUUUUAAAAAGUUUAAAAAGUGAACAUGUAAUGAAGAAACAAUACCUCUCAAGGAAUCAUUGGAAAUGUUUUACAGUUUAAGAGUUGCACUAAAAAGAAGAUGUAAAGUUGCAUUUCUGUGGUCAAUGGUUGCCAUCUGCAUCGCAAGGACAACUUUUUAUUCCUCCCUCUUUGUUUUUAUUCUCCUUCAGCGUAAACGAUGAAUGCUUUAAUUUGCAACAGACAACACAAUUGUCUUUACCAUACGUACAGCAAAACUUGGUGACGUUGGGAUACACACCAUCACAAGAGGAUGAGAUGGUUUUAAUCCUGGGAAUCUGCCACCAUCCAUCGCAAGCAGCAGGUAAUGGAUCGAGCGAGCGCGGGACCUGAUGUGGCUACGGAUGAGCCAGCCCCGUGGGCGUGAGAGUGGGUGUUCAAAUGGAUUUGGAGAAGCUCGCCUGGAGUACCAGCACUCCUAGAACUUAGUGUUCACACCGCGGUGCCAAACCCUUCACAUCUCCUCAUUUCUUCCCUCAAAGACGAAACAAAAACAAAACAUGACAGCAGGGUGCCGGAAUGUUGUCGGGCUUGGUUAGGGGACAUUUUGAUGUUAUCCGGACGCUCUUUCUUGGCACUCUUUAAUCCCGGCAGUGUUGCAAAAGCACUCUGUUCUGCUUCUCGCUUUGUUUGCUGAAGCAUAGAUCAGGAGCCUUAUAAAGGUAGGCCCCCAAUGUCACUUUAUCGCUGCUGGAAAUCAUAAAUGGUUUGAGUGCGUCUUGCUACCCGUGUGCACUAUGUGUUCAGAGCAGUUGUGGAGUGCAGAGUAAAUGGCUCCAAACUAAAGAUGAAAAAAUAAUAAUAAUAAUAAACUACAGGAUGCUGCACUCUCCACAGAAUACUAACAGAACACUGGAAGCUAAUACUGACAAACAUCUGUUAAUAAAUAAUGGAUGAAGAUGAAAUACUCCACUCUAGAACAGAUGUUAUUUAUAGUGUCAUAGAAUUUCUGUCUCCAUCAUGGCUGAUGAAAUUUAAUAUAAGACAUUUAUUUUAUUAUAUCCUAAAGGUACAUAGUGAUGUAUUACAACUUUAUGGAUUUCAUUGAAUAGGCCAACACAAAUUAAUAGGACAGCAACCCUAAACUAACUUGAAAUUUUAAAUAUAUUUUUAGCAUUUUUGUCCAGUGUGCCUUGGCUUCGGGGCAUUAAUUAUAAAAUAUACACGUGGAAAACUGACUAGCAGGGUAAAUCCUGAGAGUAGAAAAAGUACUUAAAAAUGUAUCCACUUUUGCUUUAAUUAAAAAAAAAAAAAUUGACCAAACUUGUUGGCUGUCCUAGUUUUAUCUUUAAGUUGUUAAAUAAGAGUGGAAAAGGGAGGAAAAGACCUUCCUUGUCCAAACUUUAGUGUUUACACCUCAAUCCAACGCUGCACCUUUAUUAUGAACUGCCAAAAGAAAAACUGAAGAGUUAUUCGGGGUUUUCUUUUUGUUGUUUUCUUUUAUGGUCCACCAAGAAGAUUCACAGUGCAAUUAAGAAGUGGUAUUAAACAAACAACAACCUUUUAACCAUGUCUGCUUUUCUUUGCAUUUAUAAACUUAUAUUAAGAUUCUAAAUUGGCCAAAAAGAGAAGAAUGCUCUCAUAUAAAAGAGGUACAUUUACAUGGCAGCAAAGGGUGCCAAAUAUUUCAGAUUUUUGUUUCAAACAAUAAUAAUAAAUAAAAAAUAAAAAACUCUCCCAUUUCUCAGUUUUGUGCUACUUUGCAUUUGAGUGUCUGCCACUGAAAAUAUCAUCUUUAAAGUUUGUGAUUUUAACUGGAUAAUAUAAGAAAAAUAUUUGCUGGAAAUCUAGAUUACAGUUUCCUUCAAUUGAAUUGACUCAUGUUCUCUAUCUGGGAGAGAUCCAUGUGUCAUUUUACGUGUUUGUGCUCACCGAAAUAUUUGUAGAACUGAAAUGAAAAUACAUUCUGGCAUUGAAAACGUUUGUUUGUUUGUUUAUUUUUUUCUUGGUUUAUUAGAACACAUUUUGGGGGCAGCGUGUGGCUACACAGAUGCUGGGAGGGCACAGCGGCUGCCUGCAGGCACCAGCGGCAGCCAUUGUCGGCGGCGAAUACGAGGCCAGACACCUGUUCUCCCAAAAUGAAUUAUGAAAUGAAGACAAGCAUCCACUGUUCUCUGCACAUUUGGUUCAAACGGGGGCGAGGCCAAAGACCCGGGGAGAAACAAAAUGAAGGCGCAUGUUAAGCAAUGAGACAGCCAGAGGAAGAAAUCAAGGUUAUGAGUCCUUGUUAACUGUAAUAGACUCUGAAGAAGCCGAGUGGAAUUCCAAUAGAUUUUUCUGCUGCUCGCUUUCCUUUGUGCCGAUGCAACUAAAUUAAAACAACUGCAGAGAGUCAUUUAAAUGUUAUGAAUUAUUGCUGUUCAUAAACACGCUGCUAGUUGCCCCAUAAAGUGAAGAUGUAGUUGUUGUUGUUUAAACACGUGAGUCUUAUAUGCUUUGUCCCACAUUAGCUCUUGUCCCCAUUUUUUCACAAUGGCCCUUUUCUACAUGUGUACACAACAUGAAUCACUGACACAAUGAAGUCAGUGAUUCAGCAGCACUAGAUUUUGUUAGCAAAUUUGCCUCCAGUGGGUAAAAAAAAAAAAAAAAAAAAAAAACCACAAAUUGGCUCCAAAUGAUGCUCACGUAACGUAUAAUUUAUUCACACCUUUCUGUUAAUGCUCCUGCUUGGGAUCUGAAGUAGAUGUUUGCUGAGACUAUCUAAUCACAGGUCGCUCGGCGUGCAAGGUGUGUGAUUCCCAGAAAAGAAUGAAAGCUCAUUUCUUUGAAGAAAAGAAAGGGACUUGAGAAAAGGUGUCCAAUUUUAAAAUAGAUUCGGUCUUGAUUGCUGAAGUUUAACCUCACGCAGGGAAAUCUGAGUGCGCAUAUUCAGCUGGGUAAAACUAGAUUGCUUCUUUUAAACGAUAUCCAUGGCGCAACACUUUUCACCUCAUUAAAAAAUAAAAUAAAUUAAAUAAGUGUGAGUUGUUUAUUCCUACUCUGUCAAAUUGAUCAGUUCGUUUACAACCUUUUUAACUUUAAUCUAAAACUUUCUCCUUUUUUUGUGGGGCAUAAGGAUGAUAUCCCAUCAAGGCAGAUUUCUGAUAGCUAAUCUUAACGAUCAGACAAGAGAACAUGCCACUAAAGUAAGACAGAUGUGUGUUGGAUCUUAAUGAGUCAGAGAAUUAUGAUCAGAAAAUAUCUUCUCCAAUGUAAUCACCUGAAAAAUUCCAAUAACUGGAAGUGCAACAAACAAG